rnacentral:rRNA from 1 species
GGGGAAUUUUGGACAAUGGGGGAAACCCUGAUCCAGCCAUCCCGCGUGUAUGAUGAAGGCCUUCGGGUUGUAAAGUACUUUUGGCAGAGAAGAAAAGGUAUCUCCUAAUACGAGAUACUGCUGACGGUAUCUGCAGAAUAAGCACCGGCUAACUACGUGCCAGCAGCCGCGGUAAUACGUAGGGUGCAAGCGUUAAUCGGAAUUACUGGGCGUAAAGCGUGUGUAGGCGGUUCGGAAAGAAAGAUGUGAAAUCCCAGGGCUCAACCUUGGAACUGCAUUUUUAACUGCCGAGCUAGAGUAUGUCAGAGGGGGGUAGAAUUCCACGUGUAGCAGUGAAAUGCGUAGAUAUGUGGAGGAAUACCGAUGGCGAAGGCAGCCCCCUGGGAUAAUACUGACGCUCAGACACGAAAGCGUGGGGAGCAAACA